rnacentral:rRNA from 1 species
GACGGAAGGUGCAAGCGUUGCUCGGAAUCACUGGGCGUAAAGAGCUCGUAGGCGGUGUGUCACGUCGGCCGUGAAAACCUGCAGCUUAACUGUGGGCGUGCGGUCGAUACGGGCAUCACUGGAGUUCGGCAGGGGAGACUGGAAUUCCUGGUGUAGCGGUGAAAUGCGCAGAUAUCAGGAGGAACACCGGUGGCGAAGGCGGGUCUCUGGGCCGAUACUGACGCUGAGGAGCGAAAGCGUGGGGAGCAAACAGG